ACGAACGCUGGCGGCGUGGAUAAGACAUGCAAGUCGAACGAGAGAAUUGCUAGCUUGCUAAUAAUUCUCUAGUGGCGCACGGGUGAGUAACACGUGAGUAACCUGCCCCCGAGAGCGGGAUAGCCCUGGGAAACUGGGAUUAAUACCGCAUAGUAUCGAAAGAUUAAAGCAGCAAUGCGCUUGGGGAUGGGCUCGCGGCCUAUUAGUUAGUUGGUGAGGUAACGGCUCACCAAGGCGAUGACGGGUAGCCGGUCUGAGAGGAUGUCCGGCCACACUGGAACUGAGACACGGUCCAGACACCUACGGGUGGCAGCAGUCGAGAAUCAUUCACAAUGGGGGAAACCCUGAUGGUGCGACGCCGCGUGGGGGAAUGAAGGUCUUCGGAUUGUAAACCCCUGUCAUGUGGGAGCAAAUUAAAAAGAUAGUACCACAAGAGGAAGAGACGGCUAACUCUGUGCCAGCAGCCGCGGUAAUACAGAGGUCUCAAGCGUUGUUCGGAAUCACUGGGCGUAAAGCGUGCGUAGGCUGUUUCGUAAGUCGUGUGUGAAAGGCGCGGGCUCAACCCGCGGACGGCACAUGAUACUGCGAGACUAGAGUAAUGGAGGGGGAACCGGAAUUCUCGGUGUAGCAGUGAAAUGCGUAGAUAUCGAGAGGAACACUCGUGGCGAAGGCGGGUUCCUGGACAUUAACUGACGCUGAGGCACGAAGGCCAGGGGAGCGAAAGGGAUUAGAUACCCCUGUAGUCCUGGCAGUAAACGGUGCACGCUUGGUGUGCGGGGAAUCGACCCCCUGCGUGCCGGAGCUAACGCGUUAAGCGUGCCGCCUGGGGAGUACGGUCGCAAGGUUAAAACUCAAAGAAAUUGACGGGGACCCGCACAAGCGGUGGAGUAUGUGGCUUAAUUCGAUGCAACGCGAAGAACCUUACCUGGGCUUGACAUGUAAUGAACAACAUGUGAAAGCAUGCGACUCUUCGGAGGCGUUACACAGGUGCUGCAUGGCCGUCGUCAGCUCGUGUCGUGAGAUGUUUGGUUAAGUCCAGCAACGAGCGCAACCCCUGUUGCCAGUUACCAGCACGUGAAGGUGGGGACUCUGGCGAGACUGCCCAGAUCAACUGGGAGGAAGGUGGGGACGACGUCAGGUCAGUAUGGCCCUUAUGCCCAGGGCUGCACACGUACUACAAUGCCCAGUACAGAGGGGGCCGAAGCCGCGAGGCGGAGGAAAUCCUGAAAACUGGGCCCAGUUCGGACUGUAGGCUGCAACCCGCCUACACGAAGCCGGAAUCGCUAGUAAUGGCGCAUCAGCUACGGCGCCGUGAAUACGUUCCCGGGUCUUGUACACACCGCCCGUCACAUCAUGGAAGCCGGUCGCACCCGAAGUAUCUGAAGCCAACCGCAAGGAGGCAGGGUCCUAAGGUGAGACUGGUAACUGGGAUG
rnacentral:rRNA from 1 species